rnacentral:lncRNA from 1 species
CUAAUUUUGCACUAAUGGUGUAUUGAGUUCCAUCUCAGAAGGUCCAUCUUGUCCAGACUUGUAGUUGAAACGCAUCGAUUAUUGUUUUUCACAUUUAAGUGAUAGUGGAAUUCUAGCAAGAUGGUGGCUUGUUUGAGAGUUUCAAUCUUAAAACUCAAUUGUUCUUUUGAGUUUUAGAAAGAUUAAAAAGGUCCUUCGAGCUUCUUGAGUUAUGAUAGCAAGUUCUGUUCUAAAAGGUCAAUCUUGCUAGAAUGCUAGGAGUAGCCCAAGCUGCCCGUAUGCGUUGAUUAUUGGUUAUCUCCACUUGUUAGAAACCCACAAUAACACCAAAGAGUUAAUUUAUGGCACAAUAAAACUUGACAUCAGCUACGUAAAUUCUUUUUCCAUCAAUCCAUUAGUUUUAGCAGUAUUAUUAGGGAAAUAUUGAAUGAUAUGAAACCUUUUGGCUUUUGCAAACAUGUUAGACAUGUUAAUUUUGGUUUAUGAACAUGUUGUAUUGGGAUAGCAAUGCCAUAUUAUAAAUAGAGGGUUUUUUAUAUCUACAAAAAAUGAUUGAAGUUGUCAUUCUAUUAAUUUAUACUCAAUUCUUGUUUAGGCUUAUUGACAUCAAUUUUAUUUUAUCAAUUCUAAUACGACUACACAUCCAUCUUAAUAUUUUAGUUUUAUGCUAUAUUCAUGUUAUGUACAUUUUUAUCUUCCAAAGUGUUAAAUGAUUCCCUGUCUUCAUGCUCAUUCUAUAAUUUGUUGAAAUAAUACGUCAAUGCUAUAGCACUUCUUGAAAUAAGCUUGGCUACUACUCUUAUCACCUGCUGCCUGCUGGUUUAAUAUCUAUUAUAUCAGUUUGAAACCCUGUUCAAUGAUUCGUCUUACUUAAAUUCUGCUCUUUUUCUAUAUGCCAAAGUUCAUACAUCCUGUAUUCUGAAAUUCUUUUACCUUCUUUCCUACCUAUUUCAUGUUGUAUUGGCAAUCUUUGUUGACUCUCUUAUGCAGCGAUAAUCUUGUAAUUCAUUAUAUGAGUGUCCCCUCCCAGCGUAAUUAGAUUAGUUUCAUUACUCACCUCUAUCCAUUAGAGUUAUGUGUGCCAUCUCUCCACUUUCUAUAAGCUGAGGAACUGCUUUAGUUGCUGAUGUCCCAGUUUGAUCUACUGCUGUAAUCAGAAUGAUGUUUGAAUAAUGGUGAAAUGUACUUCAAAAUACUAAAUGCAAGAGCAAGUGACUUGAUAAGAUGCUGCUUUCAGUUUUUACUCGACAAUAUUUUUCAUCCCCGUGCUUAUCUAGUAGGGUGUAUGAAGAAUUCUGACAGGCUUAUCGCUCUUGCAAAAUGUCAGGUCGUUCCGAAAUUUUCCUGCAGAAUUUUUGAAUGGCCUCAAUGAGAUUAGAAUCUGCUAUUAUAAUGCUUGAAUUGACAUUUUGCUACAUUAUAGUGUUGAUAUAGUUAGAAGAAUUUAAAUAACCUCAUUGUCACAUGAGGCUUUUGUUUAU